GUCUUUCCCACACGAGCCAGUUCUCUAAACACACAGAGUGGGCACCGUGUCCAGUGACUGGUCACGCUCUGUGGUCUGGUAUUUACGAAUUUCUAGGAAGUGAGUCCAGGACCGUGUAGAAGACUGCUCAUUAUUUCGCUCAGUAAGCUGAGAUUGCUAUCAGAAGUGAAAGGGAGUUUUUAUUCCUUUUCAAAAAUAUUUUCAUCUAGAAACCACUGGCUACCUGGUAUUUCGAAGGCUUUCCAGUGGUUGAACAUUUACAAGAACGAAUUUGAACCGGUAACUGCUGACUUCCAAAUGCUAAUCAUUACUAAUAUCCUCUGACCUGCAUGAUACUGCCUUUUGUCCAACUUCCUGGUUUCUUUAGCGCUCACGUUUCAGUGGCUUAAUUGUCCUUUUUACAACUGCUCUAAGAAAGGGAAAAAAAAAGAUUUCUUAAUGGUAUUCCCUGGUUUGUGCCAAAGGACUCUAAUCUCCAAGGAGAGAGAACCGUUCUUAGUUUGAGGAAAUGUCAAGAGCUCUUCAAGCCCACAGGAACAGGGGAAGAGGAAGAGGGUGUACCCCAACUGUUACCCCAUAGUUCCAUUCCUGUUUCACUGGUCACAAUCAUGGGGCCUUACUCAGCUUCCUCAGGGACCAGCAUUUUGGGGGGGCCAGUGAAGCCAGGGUGCUGAGUCGUCCAACUGCUGCAGGGACAGGAAAGGAGCAGCGAGCCCUGGGCCUGAGCAGGGACAGCAGCGGACUUUUCUGGAAUGUCUUCCCUUAACCCUGGUUUAACUCCUCUUCGUCCUCUGGAUUCAGGAGCAGCAGCUAAAGGGACCCAGGGAGUCAACUCAACUGGUCUGUCUUCGCUGCCUGUAUUUUUCCCCAACGUUCCUCUUACCUGAUUGUAAUUGUCUUUAUAUUCUA